rnacentral:lncRNA from 1 species
UCGGGUGGUCAUCCGAAAUUCAAUGGGUCAAGUUUUAGCCUCUACGGCAGUGUUGCAUGCAAAUAUCAUCUCUACAUUCGCUGCAGAGGCUCUUGUAUGUUCUGAUGCACUAAGAGCGUGCGAAGGAUUAUGUUUGAGAAAGGUUAUUGUAGAGGGGGAUUCCCUCACAGUCAUAAAAAAAAUACACAUCAGUCCUUAACGACAGAUAAGUUAUAAGCCUAUUUAUCAGAGAUGUUAUGUUAGUGAGUAAGUUUAGCAAAAUCCAGUUUCAGCACUCGUUUUGGAAUACAAAUAAAUUACCAGAUCGAUUAGCUACAGAAAGCUUAAAGAGGGAUGAGAGGUUUUACCUUCUGGGUUCAGUGUCGAGUUUUAUGAAGGCGAUUCAAGUCAAUUAAUCCAUCAGAAAACUUGACUAAUUCGAAAAAUCCAUGGAUAGUACAGGUUUCUUCCUCGUGGUGAUAAGCUUCAUGAGAAAACAUGGUGAAUCUAGCAAAUCUGGAGAAUAAAGUAGAUAAAUAGUUUUGUGAUAAUAGGAAAUGAGAACCGUCUGGGUAAAGUUGUUGCAGAUUUUGGGCGUGACGGGCUAUCCGAUUUUCAAGGGAGUAGGUAAUUAAUGUUAGUUAUUGUUAAGUCCGUUUCUUUUUGGUUUCCUUUUAUUUCUUUGUGUUGCUUUGGGCUUGAGUUUUUUUUGGUUAGUUUGCUAUAUAAGUCCUUACUUUGAAUUAAUAAAAGCC